AUAUUCGAUUGAUGGCCGUAUAUUGAUAAUUUUAAUGAUGUCUUCUCUUAUGAUAAAAUCUUGGCGAAAUACUAAAAUCCCAUAAUAAGGAUUGUGGAGCAUGUAUCGUUGCCUUGAUUUUAUUGUAAGAAGUGACCUCAUUAAGAUAUCAUUUUCUCUCAUUCACGUACUGACAUUGUCAUCUUUUUGCAGGUUAUGUGUAAUGCUCCAUGACAUUCUCGUGUUUGACCACAUAGAGAAGUGAAUUCAAGAACUAAGUAAGAGUUGA
rnacentral:lncRNA from 1 species